UUAAGUGGAGGGGACUUGAUAGCAAUUGUUAUUAUUCUAAACAAUUUCGGUGUUUAGAAUUAAGUCCUUAGUGUGAAUCAUAAAAUGACGAUAGAUAUGUUUCAGUUUACUCGAAUUUUAGUGGACUCUAAGAAGGACCAUCAAGAGCAGUACUUCUAGUUGUAAAAGGUACAAAGGAUUUAUAGCAACAGGUGGAAUGCAAUCCUCUAUCACAAAUUAUUUAUUUUAAUAAUAAACCAGAUUCCAAAAUAACAAAAUUUCAAGAGCUUACAGUAAAAGUUAUUUUAUUGGAAAAAAUAAUAUAUAUUCUGCAAUUUUAAAAUGUUGAAAUUUAUUCGUGGAAAAGGUCAACAACCAUCAGCAGAGCGUCAGAAAGUUCAAAAAGACCUUUUUGCUUUUAGACGAACUUUGCAAUAUGGUUUUCCAAAUAAACCAACAGCUAUUGCUUGGGAUCCUUUGUUGCGGAUCAUGGCAAUUGGCACAUCAACAGGUUCAGUCAAAGUUUUAGGUAAACCUGGUGUUGAAUUUUACGGACAUUUACCUAGUUCAGAUCAAUGUAUUACAAAACUUAUAUUUGUUCCUAACCAGGGUCACUUGAUCUCAUUAUCUGAUGACAAUAGUCUGCAUUACUGGGAAAUAAACGACACAGCCAUUGAUGAAGUUCAGUCAUUUUUAUUAGAAGGAAAACUAAAGCAGAUAUCCUCUCUCUGUUUGGAAUCAAACUGUGAAAAGUUGUUGCUUGGAACUGAAGGUGGAAAUAUCUUUACCUUAAAUAUACCAUCUUUUGAAUUAUCUAAUGAUAUAAUUUAUCAAGAUGUUGUUAUGCAAAAAGUAUGUAAUGACUAUAAAAAAAAUCCUGGAGCAGUUGAAUCAAUAGCAGAACAACCUCAUAAUGUAGACAAUAUAUUAAUUGCUUAUAGUAAAGGAUUGAUUGUUUUAUGGGAUAAAAUUAAUUUGUCUACUUUGAAAACAUUUAUUAGUAGCCAACAUGUCGAAAGUAUCUGUUGGGAAGAAAGUGGAAAUAAGUUUUAUUCUUCUCAUAAUGAUGGUUCUAUAACACUGUGGAAAGUAGAUGAAACUUCAGAUGAAAAUGACAAUACAAGUACAGUUUAUGGACCCUAUCCAUGUAAAACAAUUCCUAAAGUACUUUGUUUGCAAUCCUGUCAAGAUUCUAAUGAAAAUUUACUUAUAUUUUCUGGAGGUAUGCCCAGAGCAUGUUAUGGUGAUAAACAUGCAGUCACUGUACAACUGGGUUCUUCUAAACAUGUUGCAUUUGAUUUGACUUCAAAAAUAGUUGAUUUUUUUGCUACUACUGCUUCACCAGAAGAAAAAGGUUCUACUUCUUUAAUUAUUUUAGCUGAAGAGGAAAUAGUUGGUAUUGAUUUAUCUUCUGACGAUUGGCCUUCAAUUCAAUUACCUUAUCUUGUAUCUGUACAUGCUAGUGCUAUAACAUUUACUCAUUUUGUUUCCGAUAUUAAUAAAGAUUUAUGGGACAGUAUAAUUGCUACUGGAAGUUCUCAUAAUGAAAAUAUUUUUUCUUCGAAUGAUUGGCCAGUAAAUGGUGGCCAAUCAAAUAUAACAGAUGAUCAAAGUCGAGAUCUUUUAAUUACUGGACAUGAAGAUGGCUCUGUUAAACUAUGGGUUGCCAAUGGAUCACCUUUAUUACCUAUUUAUGUUUUUAAGUCAUCAUGGGUUUUGGUUGGAGAUGAUGUUGAUAAUAUUUCCAGUAACACUAUACCUCCUGAUGACGAGGAUGAAUGGCCUCCAUUUAGGAAAAUAGGAAAUUUUGAUCCUUAUUCAGAUGAUCCAAGACUUGCAGUCAAAAAAGUCAUUUUAUGUCCAUAUAGUGGUACUAUGAUUGUAGCUGGCACAGCUGGUCAUAUUAUUGUUACUAAAUUCAAAGAUGAACCUUCUUCUAAUGAAAUUAAAGCUGUUCAAAUGAAUGUCGUUGGUGAAAGUUUUGUGUGGAAAGGUCAUGAACGUUUAAAUUUAAAGCAAACCGGUGAUGAAGCUAAUAACAAUAAUGGCAAAAAUACUACUUGUCUUUCAUUUAAAGCUGGUUUUCAACCUAUUUCUGUAUUACAAGUUUAUCCUCCAGCUUCAAUUACAGCUGUAGCUUUACAUUCUAACUGGUCUUUAGUUGCAGCUGGUACUGCUCAUGGUUUGGUUAUUUAUGACUUCUACCGCCAAGCACCAGUACUUACAAAGUGUACAUUAAAUCCAAAUGAUUUGUCAACUGCUGGAGAUGUUCCAAUAUCUAGAAGAAAAUCAUUCAAAAAAUCGUUACGUGAAUCAUUUCGUAGACUUAGGAAAGGUAGAAAUUCUACACGAAUCUCAAAUGAUAAAAAAUCUGGUAGUAUUACACCUGAUAAAAAACGUGAAGGGUUGGUAAUUCUUAUUAAAUUAAAAAUCAUUCAUUACAUUAACUUUGCACAUAAAAUACAAAAUUUUAUUAGUACUUUACCAACAUCUCCUAUGGAAGCAAGACCAGUUGAAAGAGCAAUUGAAGCUAGAUCUGUUGAUGAUUGCCAAGGAAGCAUGGUUCGAUGUUUGAGUUUUGCUAAAACUUUCAUUGUCACAGCUUCUCAUAUUACACCAACUAUCUGGGCCGGUACCAAUAAUGGAUCUGUGUAUAUAUUUACCAUUAGUAUUCCUCCUAAUGAUAAACGUAAGGAAAGAAGAGUUACUUCGCAACUAGGGAAAGAAAUUCAAUUAAAGCAUCGUGCUCCUGUAAUUGGAAUAACAGUAGUAGAUUCAGAAAAUCGUUCAGUUACAGAAUUGUUAGAAAAUUACUCUUCUACUAAACCUUUAGAUAUAUGUGGUCCACAUAAAGUAAUAAUCACCUCAGAAGAACAGUUUAAGAUAUUUUCAUUGCCUAAUUUAAAACCUGUGUGUAAGCUCAAGUUAACUGCGGCUGAAGGUGCUCGUGUUCGAAAAAUUUCUAUAGCUUUUUUCAAAACUAAAGAUUAUGUUGAAAAUUGUUUAUUGUGUUUAACUAACUUAGGCGAAGUAAUUGUUCUUAGUGUACCUGAUCUUAAAAGACAAAUACAAGCUGCUGUAAUUCGCCGAGAAGAUAUUAACGGUAUUUCAAGCCUAACAUUUACUAAUUAUGGUGAAGCUUUGUACUUGCACUCAAGCAGUGAAUUUCAAAGAAUUUCUGUUUCUGCAAAUAUUGUAACCCAAGUAGACUGUACAUUAAAUUUACCAGGAAGAAAUAGAAUAUCUGAUAGUCGAUCAACUACGCCUGUUAAUGAUUAUCAUGAUGAAAACAUUCAAAAAAUUAAUGGAUGUUUGGAAAGUUCAAAAGAAAAUGGAGAUAAUAAUUUUCAACUAAACAAUAGUAAUGACCUUUCUGUUGGAGAUAUAACUAUAGAUUCGAUUAAGGACCACUUAGCUAAUUCCAAUUCAAACUUAAAUUUGACAUCGACUUUUAACAACACUGAAAGUAACAUCCAUCAUAAACAUAUUGUUAUAAAACAUGAAGUUUCUUCUACUAAUGAUACUCCAAUUAAAACAUCAAAUUCUACUGUAGUGACUGUUAAUGAUUCAAUUUCUAUUAACAAUAUACACACAAGUUUAAUUAUAGAAGAUGAUUCAUCGGCACAAACAAAUUUUGAGUGUACAAAUGAGUUUUCAAAAAAAACUGACUGAUGUUAUGGGAUACAGAGUUUUAUUAGUAUCAGAUUUUCUUGGAAGUUUUGUGUAGAGAUCUAUUCAUUAGGUAUUAAUAGAGCACCAUUAGCUCUAAUGGAGGAUCUUGAAGUAGAAACAGUUGCAUAAUGUGAUAGUCAAUGAAGUAUGCACAUAUGACCAAAUAUUUAUAUUUUAAAUCCAUGCCAUACAAUUCAACCAAUAUGAUUAACAAAGUUGAACUAAUUUUUAACAUCUAGUUAUUAACUACUAACAAAAAUGUAAUAUUAAUAUGACUCAAAAUGUGUAUAUUGUUACAGUUGUACCUGGUUAUUCAGGUAAUAGACCUGUAAUAUUUUACAAAUAUUUGGAAAGUAUUAUAAAUCAUUUGUUUAGUUCUAUCAUAUUAAUUAUAAUUAAUAAUUAUUGUUAUGUAUCAUCAUCUUAAAUUUGAUUGAAGAGCUUUUUUAAAAUCAGUGCCAAGGCCUUAACAUAAUAUAAUUUUAUAGACUUGAAUUAUUUUUACAAUUAUAUAAUAUUUUUCAUUAGUAUUAGUAUUUUUAAAAUCCCCACCGCUUUUUAAUUUUGUAAUUUUUAAUAAAAUAUUAAUUUUGUUUUAAAAUAUUUUUGCCCAUUUGUAACUAAUACAAAACAACAAAUUGUAAAUUAUGUGAUAAUUAAGCAAACAAUUUUAAACUGAUAAUGUAAUAAUCUCCAGUUAAAAUAAUUAUAUUGUUUUGUUUUCUUAACUAUUAGAAUAUUUUCUUCAAAGACAUUCCAUUUAUAAAAGAGUUAAAAAUUUGUUUAUUAGUGUUAUAUUUUUAUACUUAACAGUAUUAAUUUUUUGUAAAAAUUAUGUACCUAAAGUUAAAAGACAUUAUGUUAAUUGAAUUUUAUAAAAAGAUCUCUUUUCAACUAAAUGUUUUUCUUCAAUUUGUAUAUUGUAUGUGUAUAUAUAUAUAUACACACACACACACACACACACAUAUUUAUUUAUAUUAGUCAAUUCUUUUUAAUAUGAUUAUACAUUUUAUAAUUAUUACUCCAAUGUUUAAUUAAUAUUAGUUGUAACAUUGUAUAUUAUAAUAUGCACUAGGUUCCAGUCAUUUUAUGAUUCAAACCUAUUUACCACUAAAAUCGUGAAUUUUAUUAUUAUGGAUUUUUACUUAUUUAUUUAUAUACAAAUUAUUUAUUUAUUAUGCUGUGUAUAUUUUACAAUAACUAAUUUUGUAAAUAUUAUUUAGAUUUGUAUUUGUAUAAUAAUUUUAAUUUUAGUUAAAUAAUAAAAAAAUCCACUCAAAAUUAACCUAAAUAUCAAAUGUUUGAAGAAUCAAAUGUUGAAGGUGAUGGUUAGUACUUAUAAGUUAAAUACUUAAAUAUUAAUUAUAUUUACAUAAUAUUAUUUUUGUAUCUUAAUUCAAAUUAUGUAACCAAUAUAUUUUUUAAACAUCAAUUAUAAUUUAAUAAAGUUAUUUUUAACCUUUUUACUAAA